CUCGCCGCGAACGGUCUGUUCGGCUACGUCGCCGGCACUGAGCAAGCGCCGCCGCACACCAUCACAGAGGGCACCGGGGAUGCAGCCGUCGAGGUGGCCAACCCGGAGUUCCUUCGCUGGUACCAGCAGGAUCAGCUUGUCAUGAUCACUCUCCUCGGAUCCAUGACCGAGGACAUCCUCGGUCAGAUGACGCAACUGACCACCUCCGCCGCUCUUUGGACUGCACUCCACAACAUGUUUGCGUCGCAAAACCGUGCCCGCAUCAUGCAGCUAAGGUACCAGCUCUCGAAUCUGAAGAAGAAGGACCUAUCUGCCUCGGACUACUAUCGCAAGAUGAACGGGUUCGCCGAUGCGAUGGCGUCCAUUGGCAAGCCCCUUUCUGACGACGAAGUGCUCGGCUACAUGUUGGCUAGGCUGGGCUCCGAGUUCGAGCAACUGGUCGCGUCGAUCAUGACGCGCGACGACCCUGUAAGUCUCAACAGUUUUUAUGCAUUCCUCCUUAGUGCUGAGCUCCGCCUCGAGCAGCAAGCCUCGCAUGGCGAGAUACAUCCUUCUGCCAACAUUGCUGCACGUAGUCCUGAUGGUCACCGUGGUGGACAUGAUGGA
rnacentral:rRNA from 1 species